AAGGAAGCGCAUUUUGUUAUCCCGUUAACCGCGGAUUCGUUAUUGAACCUAGGAUCAUUGUCAUUAGCAUCAAGUAUUUAAUUACUACGGCUACUUAUCAAAUUCUGUAAUAAUCAUAUUUGUACUAGUAAAUAUCUCCUCUAUUACAUAACAACAAUGACUAAUCCAAAUGAAGAUUCGUUACACGCACCUAACCCUAAUCAUAAUGUGAACCCGACAUAUAUAUGCCAGAAAUAAUAUAUGUCGGAGAUGCAAGGACACCGGACCUUCCCCUGGAACUCCGGGAAAAUCCGUAAAAUCGUAGUUAAAGUUUACAGUUGUAAUUAAACAAUUUGCCGUCAUUCUGCCCAAUUGUACUUGUUUGCGAUUUGUGAUAAUAAACUUGGGCUCAAGACGACCAUCAUUCGCCGAACGUAGCCGCGGUCAACGAGACGGGCGCUCCGUCUAGCAAAGCUGCGGAGGGGUGUUAUGACCCUCAUUAAAGGAACUACCCAUAGAGGUAUCGGACAGUAAAACAUGCUAACGGUUUCUUAGGACAAUGAAUACCUGAUAUUGAGGCACGUACACAGCACAAGUCUGGUUAGCCUGAGGGCCCGCUAUAAAACCUGGAUUUUUCGGCAAUUAAGAUGUGUGCAAACGGGCAGGCAGCUUUUGUCUCAAAUCGACCAAUCGACAGCGACGUCGAUUCGAGGAUCUUGUACUUAGACACCCCACCAUAGUUGGCCUCGGUAGCGUCAUUGGGACGAAAAUUCAUUCUUUCUCGAGAUUUCAUCGGCGAAGGGAGUAGUACACGUUUGAGUUAGAGCAAGUAUACCUACCCUCCCGUUGACCGUGGAUUCGCUAUCGAACCUAAGACCAUUAUCACUAGUGUCGCGAGUGUCUAAUGUUGAUUGUCGAAUCGAUAGUGUUCAUACUUGUUGUAUCAGGCCGUAUCUUCGUUAUAACACAACGCUGGCCAACUCUAAGAGAGGUCUAUCAAACGCCCGCAACCCUGUUCCUGACUCUUCUCCGACAUAUAUAUAUUAAACAUAGAUACAAACAUACAAAUAAAUUAAAAUAAACGUUCCAGCAAGUGCUUCAAGGAAACUGUGAUUUGACAAAGUUGAUCUAUCUUCGAAUAAAAGGAGUUAGCAUGAUUUAGCUCACGAUUAAAGCAAUAUGUUUUGACUGGUGUAGAAUAAAUUGUUGGUUCUAAGAUAUCUUAAUGGGACAUUAAGAGAAAAUUGCUGGUUGACAUUAGAAGAAGAAAUAAUACCGUCUACUAUUUUAUUUACAAAUAAGAUAUCAAACAUUAUUCUGUUAAUUUUGUAUAAAAUAUGAAAAAAGGAUUUAUAUGUUUGUGAUACCAAACAUACUUUUGCAUGAAUAUAACGAAAACUAAGACCGAACAUUCGUAUCUAUAAGAAAAUGUUGUUCAGAAUCAUGAUCUCACGAUAUAUUUCAAGGGCAUCGAAAUCGAUGAGCAAGUAGCUCUUCGACAGGUUCACCUGCUCUAAUAAUGGCAUUUCAUUAAAUUUUUAAGACGUCGUAUUAAGAAAACGAAAAUUUGUUAUGCCUAUGAAGCGGAGAUACACGUUCGCAUAACACCGAAUUUAUGUCUUUCAAAAAGCACUUUUUAAUUAUUGCUGAUCAGAGAAUAUUUUCAAUCGAAGAAAGGUUCAGGCAAAUUGUGCAUUGAGCAUGAUUCUGUACCAUUCAGAUUUUUAUAUAACAUAACAAUACCAAAAAAUAUGAAAGCAGAGGAACCGAUUAAACACUGUAUGAAUUUGGACAUUAUUUUAGAAAAUGAAAAUCAUCGAAAUGUAGAUAGAAGCGACAUGCUUAAUGAAAUAAAAAUAUUUUGUGACAUAUACAGUAAAAAUUUGUUGUAUAUAACACCAAUGCAAUGUUCGAAUAUCAUACAUAAAAUUAAGGAUUUAUUUUCCAAUUUUAUGUUACUUUAAGAAUAUUAUUAAUUAUUCCAAUCGCUUCUGCAGGGUGUACUUUCUCUAGAUUAAAAUUAAUUAAAAAUUAUAUACAUACUACUAUGUCUCAGGGAAGACUAUCUAAUUGAUUAUUUAAUUUGAAUAAGUUAUGUGAAAAUUGAAAUUACGAAGAUAUAAUUAUUGAUUUUGCACGAAACAAAGCGAGAAUAAUAAACUUUAUGAAAUAAUUGUACUUCACUAAGUUUCAAAAUAAUAAACAUUUCAGAUACGGGUAUUUUUGUUAAUAUGUACUCAAUCAUCGAGUCAUUAUUUUGUUAUUAUUAUUACUAAAAACUUUAUAAUUAGAAUAAGAAUAAAUUUUCGUCAAAGAAAGUUAUGAGCUACAGAGCUACAUGUCUUUUCUGUUUCUAAUUUGUAAUGCUAUACAUGUGUAUAAUAAUAUUAUUUUGUCAGAGCGAGACUUGUUCCGCACUCCGCAGUCUCUACUGGCGACUGUGAUUUUAAAAAUAAGAUUUUGUUUACAAAAACUGUUUGUUAUGGGACUAGAAACAUUCUCGAGGACGUAAGGUUCUAAACAAAUGUUCUUUGUUAUUGAAUGUCAGAGAUAGAGAUAACUGACACGAAAUAUCAAGGUCUAAUAUCGACAGUCAAUAAGGAAUAACGAAUAAAAUUAUAUUAGCUAUUAGAUUUUCAUAACUUAUUCAUUUUUCUUCCUUUAGGAAAGACAUUUAUUCUUCCGUUUUUAUUCAAAAUUAUUAUUCGCAAUUGAUUUUAGAAAAAAACUUUCCAUUAGUCUAUUUGCAAUAAAAAGAUCCUUCCCUUAUGAAUCUUAUGAAUCGAUUUGCAACUGACAAUUAAAUUGUAAUAAAAGAACAUAAUGAACGAAAAAAACCAAAUUCGUAAUCUAAAAUAUUGCAUAACUGUUACGUAUUUUGAAUGUAGGUACACACACAUGUAAUAUAAUUUGCAUAUGCACACAUUUAUAUAUUUUAUUUUACAUACAUUUACAUAUUUUAACAUACUAUAUACACACACAAAAUUUCGCACUAUAAUAAUCGUUAUUUAUAGUAAUCGAUAUUAAAAUAAUUAUUAAAUAUUUGUUUAAUUAAUCCUAAAAUUGAAGUAUAAUUAUGAAAAUGUUAACAAAAGAAUUACGUUUAGAUUUCAUAAACAUAUCGCAAAGUGACCGAUUUAACCAGCGACCGCACACAGAGGUCCCACUUGUAGUCCUGAAGUAUAACCGAUCAGCAAACAACGCUACCUCAUCGUCGACAUCAUAUCAUGCUAGCGCAUCAUCAUAGAGUUCAGUACUGUUUAAUCUGUUGAGAUAAAUGUCAUGUUGGUAUGAUCACUAGUUCCUACAUGCGAAGUUGGUACGACUUCCGCCACGUGUUAAUUAUCUGAGAGUAUUCGGUGUGUUCAUAUGGCUGUACAUGGUGGUGAAAUACAGAAUAUAAAAACUGAAUCUGUGUGAAUCAUGAAUAUCGAAGUCCAAAACCUAUUUAAUAACAGGGGUGGUACGGUAACCGAAAUGGAAAUUAUUCUACAUGCAACGGCUGUACUAAUUUUGUGUGAGUAAUUUAGAAAUAUAUGAGGUCUUGCAAAUCAAAUAAUUUGAUGUAGGAAAUUCUUAAUUUUCAUAAAAUAAUUCUGAACUGCUAUAACUGCGUGGAAACGAAGAAG